rnacentral:lncRNA from 10 species
GCCGCGCGUGCAGCCCUGGUUCCCGCUGGCGCCUCUCCCUCCACACGUCCCUGCAAGCUGAGGGAGCCGGCUCCGGCCUUGGCCAGCUCAGAAAGGGGCUCCCACAGUGCAGCGGUGGGCUGAAGGGCUCCUCAAGUGCCGCCAAAGUGGGAGCCCAGGCAGAGGAGGCGCCGAGAACGAGCGAGGGCUGUGAGGACUGCCAGCACGCUGUCACCUCUCAAUCCCAUCCUCAACAAAUGUGAAUUUGUUAUCUCGAUUAUGGAGGGCGACAAGUCCCACAGUCUGCCAUCUGCAGGAUGGAGAACCAGUCUUUAUAGGGGGAGAAUAAUUGACUCCAUUCAAGUGUUCGCUCCUGUUUCAAUCAACUAUGGCUGAAGAGUGAGGAGACAUUUGGAAUAAAUAUGGCUUCUGGGGGCCCAUUCCUAUGGAUCAGCAGCUGGCUUCUGGAGGCCCAUUCCUGUGAAUCGUCGAUCUCAUAGAAGAUAAUAUUGUUAGAAGGCUUACCUCAUUGAUGCUGAACAUCCUAAAAAGCUUCUGCUGCUUUGAGUCACUGAAAAAGACCAAGAAACAUGAAUUUAAAAAAAAAUUUCAAAUGUUAUAAAAUAAAUAAUAUGAACUCAUUAUACCUACAAUGAAUAAUUUAAAUUCUUCUUUGGUAGUCCAGGUAAAUAACUUCUCAAAUAGAUUUUUUUAAGCAUCUGUAUAAGUUCAAGAUGUACAUCACUUCAUGUAGAAUAACAUCUCCUAAAAAGAACUGAAAUGCCUCAGUAUACAACCAGCUGACCUGGCUAUCAAACACUUAUUUAGCACAUAUUACAUGAUGGACACUUUGAUGUAGAUACGGACCUUGGGUUGUGUCCUCAAGGAUCAUACAGUGGGUUGAGGAAAUAGGAUAUGCUAUCCAUAGGAAAGUAAAUAAUAAUAUGACAGCUUAUUUUCAAUGAGAAGUGAAUAGUACAAAGAAUAGGAGUUGCCAGAUUUCAAAAGGAAAGAGCUAUCACACAGAGGCGGAACAAUUAGAAAUUUUUCAUGAAGGAAGUGUUCUUUGUGCUGGACCUUUGAGAAAGUAUAGAAUGUAGAUUAGCAAAAAGGCAUGGAAAAGGCAUGAUAGGUAGGAGAGGCAAGUUAGGCAAAGGUCCAUUAGAAUUGCUCAAGAUAUAAUAGACCAACUUGGCCUGAAAAAGGCCUGGAAGUAUCCUCUUUUGUGCUCUGUGAGAAGUUUGCCACCAUGUAAAAAGUCUAACUACCCUAAGGCAACCAUGCUCUGAGAAGCCCAACCUAUC